CUGUUAUACUAAUUUUAACUAGGCUUUUAAGUUGUAGCCCGGUUUAACCAUAAUCCUUUUCAUCUCUUAGAAACUGUAGGCCUACCGAUUCUCUUUCACCUUCUCCGGCGAUGUAACGAUGUAGUUAUGACCUUCAAUCACGUUAUCCCACUAAACUCACAACCACCCCUCUUCAUUGCUUCUUUAAUUACACAUUUUAAAGCUUAAUUUUGUGUAUAUCUACACCUUCUGAGAGCCCCCUGCAAUUCCCUUACUUUCAUAAAACCUAAAAAUAUAUCGCUCAUGUUCUCUUUUAAUGGACGAUAGUUGGCAAUUUCUCAGUUUUAUUUCUCUGAUUUGAGUCAGGCGGCUAUAAACAGUCAGUUCAGGCAAGAUUCGUAUGUGUUUCUCGGAAGCCAAUAAAGUAAUGAAAAGAGGAUAGACAAAUCCAGAAAUCAAUUAAUGUGCAACUAUUCAACACCUUAAAAAAAAUGAAGUAUCUAGCUUAAUGUUUUGUAUUUCAUAUGAAGAAGCAACCCUUACUUCCGGUUUGGAGAAAUCCAUGUUUCUAUUAGAUUUACGGAGCAAACCGUGUUUGUUGAGGUCGCUGAAACCGAUUCCCGUGGAGAGUUUUGGGUUUUGCAAUUACGAACAUCUUAUGGUAUUGGCCAACACAAACACAGAUUUUUUUUCUAGGCCGCCUUUUCCUCAAUGCAACCUCCGGAAUACAUUUCUACUUUUACCAAGAAAGUGUAAUCAGCCAGAGCUUUCUGCAAGACUAAGUUUUGUGGAUCUGACAUUGGUAGCUCCUCCACUCCUUCCAAGUAUGGCGGUGUACAGAAAAUUGAGUUAGCAACAAUUGUGGAGUUUAUUGUCUGUGUCGUGAAUUCACCACCUCAGGCGGUACGAUAGAAUUCCACUGCACUGGCCAAGUCGAUGACAGUGAGAAAACUGAUGGACCAAUGCUUCAUCAUCAAAGCUUUGCUUACAAGGAGGUGGUGACUACCCUGGAAAUAAUAUUCUGGAUGUUGUGACUCUCACUAUUAACCCUCUCAUGUGAUGAGGAGCAGUGGUUCACAUAAUACCACAUGAAGUAACACUGCUCCAAUUUUUGAAGGAAGCAUGGCUGAGUCAACAGUACUACCUGCUCAACCUGAUGCAUUUUUAGCACCGGAAAAGAUACCACAGAGCCUGAGAUCUCCAACCAUAGAGAUCCAUGACAAUAUUAAUAUAGGUGAAGAACCAAUUCCACACUGAACGUGCUAAGUUUGAGUCAAUAAUUUUUCUACAUUAUAUAGAUUGUCGUCUUUUUAGUUUGCUUGGUUAUAUUCUUAUAUCAUAUAUGAAUACGUUGAUCUCAUUACUGUAGGAAUCUUUUACGGCUCUAGCUAUUACAUAUUCCUAAAAUUGUUUAAUUUUUUUAA